UUGUGGUCUUAAAGAUGUCCAUUGAGAUUCUUUUCAGAAAAAAAAAAAUUAAGUACAUUUUUCAGAGGACAGUGAUCUAUGCCCUGUGUUAUAUUUUCUUUAUCUCCUUUCCUUCCUUCCUUCCUUUCCAUCCUCACUUUUUCUUUCUUUCUCUUUCCUUCUCUCCCUUUCUUUCUCUUUUCUUUCUCUCUCUCUUUCUUUCCUUUUUAAGGCCACUAUAGGGCUAGUUAAAACAACCAAUAGUCAGCAAUUUUCUAAAAAUCCAAAUGAGGGCUGGGUGCGGUGGCUCACACCUAUAAUCCCAGCACUUUGGGAGGCCAAGGCAAGUGGAUCACUUGAGGUCAGGAGUUUGAGACAAGCCUGGCCAACAUGGCAAAACUCGUCUCUACUAAAAAUGCAAAAAUUAGCUGGGCAUGGUGACAGGCGCUUGUAAGCCCAGCUACUCGGGAGGCUGAGACAGGACAAUCGUUUGAACCUGGGAAGUGAAGGUUGUGGUGAGCCAGCUGAGAUGGCACCACUGCAAUCCAGCCUGGGCAACAAGAGUGAAACUUUUGUCUCAAAAAACAAAUAAAAUUAAAAAUAAAAUGAACCGACCAAGCAUGGUGACUCAUGCCUGUAAUCCUAGCACUUUGGAAGGCUGAGGCAGGUGGAUCACCUGAGGUAAGGAGUUCGAGACCAGCCUGGCCAACAUGGUGAAACCCCGUUUCUAUUAAAAAUACAAUAAUUAGCUAGAUGUGGUGGCGGGAGCCUGUAAUUCCAGCUACUCAGGAGGCUGAGGUAGGAGAAUCACUCGUACCCAGGGGACGGAGGUUGCAGUGACCCAAGAUUGCACCACUUCACUCCAGCCUGAGUGAAAGAUUGAGACUCUGUCCUGACCCCACCCAAAACAAAUUAAUGAAUCUAAUAUAACAGAUGUUUUCCUAAAGAUUCUUUCCCAGUAAGGAAAAUAUGGACACAUCUGUAACCAGUUUGCAGAUCCAGAAUUUCUGGAUAAUUUCAUCAAAAUACUAGAUACAUUUAAUAAAAACUAAAACAGAAAACAAAACUCCUACAUGAUACAGUUUGUUUUGAUAAUUUACGUUGUUUUAUUCAAUAUCAAAAUGUGCUGCAUUUGUAAUUUUUAAAAUGUCUUUAAAACAUAUUUUGUUGUUCCAAACAAGUGAAAUGAGUGUUUCAAAAUACAAACACACACACAUUUCACAACUUACUGAUCUGCACUAAGAAUGUCACAUUCAUUAGCCCACAGAUUACUUAUAAGCCAUCAUAAAAGUCUCCUUUUGGCCAGGCAUGGUGGCUCACAUCUGUAAUCCCAGCACUUUGGGAGGCCAAGGCGGGCAGAUCACCAGAGGUCGGGAGUUCGAGAUCAGCCUGGUUAAUAUGGUGAAACCCCGUCUCUACUAAAUAUACAAAUUAGCCAGGCAUGGUGGCACACACCUGGAAUCCCAGCUACUCAGGAGACUGAGGCAGGAGAAUCACUUUAAUCCGGGAGUCAGAGGUUACGGUGAGCCAGGAUCGUGCCACUGUACUCCAGCCUGGGAGAAAGAGUGAGACUUAGUCUCAAAAAAAAAAAAAAAAAAAAAACAAAAA
ensembl:lncRNA